UACGUAGGGUGCAAGCGUUAAUCGGAAUUACUGGGCGUAAAGCGUGCGCAGGCGGUUUUGUAAGUCAGAUGUGAAAUCCCCGGGCUUAACCUGGGAACUGCGUUUGAAACUACAAGGCUAGAGUGUGGCAGAGGGGGGUGGAAUUCCGACGUGUAGCAGUGAAAUGCGUAGAGAUGUGGAGGAACACCGAUGGCGAAGGCAGCCCCCUGGGUUAACACUGACGCUCGAGGCACGAAAGCGUGGGGAGCAAACAGGAAUUGAGAAACCCU
rnacentral:rRNA from 1 species